rnacentral:rRNA from 1 species
AAUCAACGCUGGCGACGUGCCUAACACAUGCAAGUCGAACGAGAAAGGAAAGCAAUCCCUGAGUAAAGUGGCGACCGGGUGAGUAACACGUGACUAACCUGCCUUCGAGUGGGGGAUAACCCCGGGAAACCGGGGCUAAUACCGCAUAAUGCCUGCGAGUUAAAGGAGCAAUUCGCUUGAAGAGGGGGUCGCGGCUGAAUAGCUAGUUGGCGAGGUAACGGCCCACCAAGGCGAAGAUCGGUAGCCGGCCUGAGAGGGCGCACAGCCACACUGGAACUGAAACACGGUCCAGACUCCUACGGGAGGCAGCAGUGGGGAAUUUUGCGCAAUGAGGGAAACCCUGACGCAGCAACGCCGCGUGGAGGAUGAAGUCCUUUGGGACGUAAACUCCUUUCGACCAGGACGAUUAUGACGGUACCGGUGGAAGAAGCCCCGGCUAACUUCGUGCCAGCCGCCGCAGUAAUAC